UACGUAGGUCCCGAGCGUUGUCCGGAUUUAUUGGGCGUAAAGCGAGCGCAGGUGGUUUAUUAAGUCUGCUGUAAAAGGCAGUGGCUCAACCAUUGUAUGCAUUGGAAACUGGUAGACUUGAGUGCAGGAGAGGAGAGUGGAAUUCCAUGUGUAGCGGUGAAAUGCGUAGAUAUAUGGAGGAACACCGGUGGCGAAAGCGGCUCUCUGGCCUGUAACUGACACUGAGGCUCGAAAGCGUGGGGAGCAAACAGG
rnacentral:rRNA from 1 species